rnacentral:rRNA from 1 species
UACGUAGGGGGCGAGCGUUAUCCGGAUUCAUUGGGCGUAAAGCGCGCGUAGGCGUCCCGUUAGGUCGGGAGUUAAAUCCGGGGGCUCAACCCCCGCCCGCUCCCGAUACCGGCUGGCUUGAGUCUGGUAGGGGAAGGCGGAAUUCCCAGUGUAGCGGUGGAAUGCGCAGAUAUUGGGAAGAACACCGGUGGCGAAGGCGGCCUUCUGGGCCACGACUGACGCUGAGGCGCGAGAGCUAGGGGAGCGAACA